AUGUGUGCCCAGCACUUGGAGCCACACCUUUCAGUCCCAUUUCUGCUGCAGACACAUACCCUGACUGAACCCAUAGCGCCAGGGGCUGGGGGAGUUGGGUUGGCCACCAAAUGCCCCCACCACGGUAAGAUUCUCGAGGACUACUGCUUGGACGACCUAACUAGUGCGUGCAUGUCCUGCGCCAUCGAGGACCAGCAUCGCAUCCACAACAUGAAGACCCUGCCUAAAGCACACAAAGAGCUGAGGGAGAAGUUGAAGGAGGAGCAGAAGGCUUUGGCCAAGAGAGAGAAUCAGAGCCUGAAACUAAGCAGGUGGGACAAGGAGCAGAGGGAGAGGUUGGCGAGCUCCAGUAUCCGGCUCAUUGAGGGAGUGUCAGCCCUGCGCGACAUCACCCUGACGAGCGUCCAGAGUUCUGUCUCAGUUCGCUUAAACUCCAUCAAGACCUCUAAGAGAACCAUGCAGGCUGCCCUGUCCGAGGGGGACUCCUUCCGCUUCCUACAGGGGUAUGAAGGGGUGCACCAGGCUGUGGAGAAGGCCCGUGCUGUGGAUCUGAGGAAGGGGCUGGAGCCCGGGGCCGACCGGGACAAGCUGGUCCAGGAGUUACAGCAGAGCGGAGGAAAGCUGCUGGAGCAGACGACCCAGCUGUGGAGUUCUCUGCUGGCUCUGGUCGACCCCGAGAACCACCAGGAAAAACAGGGUUCCCCAGGGUUACCUCCCACCAUCACGUUGACCUUUGACACCAAGAGCUUGGGAAGGGGCAUGUCUCUGUCCCAGGACCACAGGAAAGUGUUCUACACCCCACUUGCCAAACUCACCACCCAUACUCUUCUGUGCCAGGAUAGCGGCUCUGAUGACAACCCGAGGUGGGUGGUCAAAUUCUCUGAGGACUGUGAUUGGACCGUUGGCGUAUGUGACAAGGAGGCUGCUGGGAAUUUCAAUAACGGCCAUGUCUAUGCUAUGCGCUGGCAGAAGGACCAACUGAGCUCUGUUUGCACUCAGUACUAUGACAGCAUUAGAUGUAGUGAUGGGAUGACCGACACAGAUAAACCUCCACAGGCACACGUCGAUUCUCAGUUUAUCUAUCUUCCUGGCCCUGCGCGACAGUGCCCUAACCAGCGUCAAGACUUCCGUCUCAGCUCGCAUAGUGUCCAUCAAUACCUCCAAGAGGACCAUGCAGGCUGCCCUGUCUGA
rnacentral:lncRNA from 8 species